UUCAUACAAGCCAAUGAGGCUUUGUCGGCAUGGCGUUCCAACCAGCUAUUCACAGGUGGUGUGCUAUUGUAACUGCACUCAAAAUAGCACCGGCUUUUUUUAAAGCUAUAAUGGUAAUUGAAGGUUUGGCAGUCAAAUACUUCAGAUAAUUCCACUUUCAGCUUGGUGGAGUUAGUCAAGAGAAGUACAAUACACUGAAUCUCUGUCAACUGCACGGGAGCAGCUUUUGUGGCUGGGGAUAGGCAUUAAAAAAUGAAAGCUAUAUGUAGCAUAAGCAUGUAUCAUUUAGAAUAUAAUUUUACUUACUGAGUAGGACAGUGGCAUCUGAGAUUAGCUGGGGGUGCCUAUGCUAGCAGAAUAUUACUAAUAACAUUUCUUAACAUGGGUCCAUGGUGCUGCUGAGGAAAUUCAACAUGGGUUCUUGACUCUAAGAAUCUGUCUGACUUCUUUGGAUGCUGUCUCAUGAAGCUAGGACUCUUCAUGUGCUGAUUCUGUAUCUUCCAAAAACAUUCUCCUGUAAGCCACAGUUGCAUGUUGUCACUAGAGAGUCGCUGGACAUAAGGCUGCUUGAGCAAUUCAAAAGAAAAAACAUGAGGCAACAACUGGUCUUUGUAAAGCUCAUUAAAACAGAGAAAGCCUUGAAGCAGAAACUUCUGUUUCUCAAGUUAUUUCCCUUCAUCAGCAUCCACCCAGGUUAUCUCAAGCAGAGGUGUGUGCUCCUUCCAAUUUUCUGAGACAAGCAGUUAUUAUACAUAGAUGCUUAGAGGAUGUACACAAAGGAGAACACGCCCUGCCUGCCGUAAUGGACUUGAACUGAUGAGGAAAGGACAUCAAAAUUCAACUUGCAGAGAAGAAGAAAAGCCAGUUCCAAACCCUGGAGCAAUUAUGUGACUUUCUUCCAAUUUAUUCUCACUUCUUACCGAAAUUUAUCUCUGCAAGGAGUGACUGAGUGACUGAAAGAAUAUCUGUGAGAAUGAAGCCUUCAGAGGAAUAUCUCAGGUCAGUGAAGGAAUAGUCAAACACAAUGAAUUAUCAUUCAAGAUAAUGUCAUAUUUUUAGCUAUGAGUUUUGGGAUCAGGGGUUUUAGUUUGUUUGUAAAUAAUUGAAAACAAGAUUAAUUUUUUUUCUUUUCUUUUUUUUUCCAUCUUUCAUAUUCCAAGGGAAUGAUAUUUUUUGGCCAAUUCUGGCAGGAUUACUUCAAGUAUGUCUCAUAGUUGACUCAAAAAUAAAAGGAAAUAGUGUGAAACUCAUCAUCAUGAUUUUGUAAUUUUGCACAUUUUAUUUUGAUACUCCUUUUGUAAUGUUAUUUCAAAAAGCAUAAUAAAAGUUUUCUUUAAAUUAUGACUUCUAUGAGUUGAUGUUUUUCUAUUAGGCCCAGCAUAAGUGGAAAAAACAUCAUCUCCCCUUCUUUCAGUGGCUCAAAUUUUGUCUUGGCUGCUCUUUUCUCUUGUUCUCUUUCAACCUCUUGUAAGAUAUCUCAACAGCAAAAUAUCUCUAUUUAAAGUACUAUGAAUAUCUAAUAGCUGAUAAAAAUUAGCAAUCACAGGCUAAACCCUAAUGAAUCAUAUGUAUCAUUGGGGUCAUAAAUUGUAUGACAUAUACAUAUAUAUAUAUGUGUGUGCAGAAAGAGAGACGGGGAAAUUUUAUUUUCAAUGUUGAUCUGUUGGAAGGAAGAGGGAGGAAAGAAGGAAGAUUCAAAAGAAUCUCUCAGUAUCAUAGGUAAACUCUUAUCUUCAAAUCUAUUUUGCUGUCCUUCUCAUGUAAAUGUCAUGAAAACUAUCAGUGGUGAGAAAAUCCACUUACAGUACACUAGUGUUCAUAAAAUUCAAGAUCCUUAAUAGAAUGUUGUCCCUAAUGAAAAUAGAAAAAAAGAAAGAAAGAAAAAAAAAUAUUUCUGGGAAUUUCUACUUUUUCUAUAAAGCCCCCUUGUUAUAUUGUCUUUGGCUGAAAUUUGUGAAAAUUGAGUCAGUAGGACACUGAUUUAUUCUGAGGGUAUAUAUAUCCAG
ensembl:lncRNA